GCCCAUCCAGAUAACCCAGCACAACUCUCCCAUCUCCCAAAUCCCUUAUUUAAUCACAUCUGCAAGCACACUUUUGCUGUAACAAGGCGCUGGAAGGAGAACUGAGAAGGAGUUGAGACUGUCGAAUUCAAUCAAGGACAAAGAGGCCUCGCAGUGUCCAAGGUCUUCACAUGCCCCACGACUCUACCCCCGCGACGCUAGCUCUGUUAGCUCCCAAGUGUGACCUUGAGAAAGUGAUGUCAUCUCUCUCAACUCCGAGCACCCCCACCCCAUCCACAAAAUGAAAAUGCAAACUUUCCGCAUGGCUGUGAUUGUGCGGACUUAAAGGAUUUUAAAUCCCUGAGAGCACAUAAUAAAGUGGUUUAUCUGUAAA